AUUGAACGCUGGCGGCAGGCCUAACACAUGCAAGUCGAACGAGUGGCGGACGGGUGAGUAAUGCCUGGGAAACUGCCUGACGGAGGGGGACAACUACUGGAAACGGUAGCUAAUACCGCACACCUUAAGCUGUGCCCAGAUGGGAUUAGCGUGUUGGUGGGGUAACGGCUCAUCAAGCCGACGAUCCCUAGCUGGUCUGAGAGGAUGACCAGCCACACUGGAACUGAGACACGGUCCAGACUCCUACGGGAGGCAGCAGUGGGGAAUAUUGCACAAUGGGCGCAAGCCUGAUGCAGCCAUGCCGCGUGUAUGAAGAAGGCCUUCGGGUUGUAAAGUACUUUCAGCGGGGAGGCGUUACCCGCAGAGGAAGCACCGGCUAACUCCGUGCCAGCAGCCGCGGUAAUAC
rnacentral:rRNA from 1 species